ensembl:lncRNA
CAUGUCCCUAGGCCUCGAGCCUGGCUGGCACCUCCCUCCAGCCCCCCAGGGGUAGCCCAGGGCUUGGCCAGGUCAGGGGAGUGUGUGUUUGGGGGACCCUCUGCCUCCACCUCCAGCUGUCCUACUGGGAGCCGACCCACUAAGCAAAAUGACCUGUUUGCAUCUAAGCAGAGUGCCAGGGACAACGCUGUGCAUGGGGCCCAGGGACACAGCCUGCUGCACGCGAUACAAGCUGCUUCAGUGAUGAGAUCGCAGUUCAGAACUCACAGAACAGCCAUCGUCGCCCUUAAAUGUGAACAAGAUGAUGCCCCGUGGCUGAAGGAAGUGACCACCCGCCGGGGGCUUUCAAGCCACCACGGGACCCACCUGCGUCUGCUCGGGAUGCCGGUGAAUCUGGGGGACACAGGCCUUCAGCCCUCGGCGUGCAGAGCUGUGUGCAGAGCCGCUGACGUCCAGAGCUGCCCUGUAGGGAGAGGGAAGCGGAGCUCUGCUGGCGUGUGAAGACAGGGAAGUAAAAAACGUCUGCCCCUUGGAAUUUAUUUCCUCCUGCCUCUUGAGGACCUCUGGCCUCCCUGCCGAGCCUGUUAACCUUCUCAGCCGCACAGGGCAGCCGACCUGAGACGAUGAGAGUGGCUUUGCUGGACACAGCCAGACACCCCACCCAGCUGUGAACCCAGUGCCUUCAGGCCCCAUCUCCCAAGGCCUUUUCUCCACUCUGCCAUCCUAAACCUUCCGUAUUUAUGAGCAUGAAUUACUUUUAUAACAGAAAAUGGUAAACCAUUUUUAAAAUACGUUACAAUCGUCAAGAAAAAAUCAGCUUCAUAAAGUCUAGUUGUCUAAUCAAAUGGUAAGUUUCUUGCCAAAAAAAAGCCAGUUUGAGCUUUUGUGCAAGAGAUUCCCCUUCCAAUGUUAAUAUUGUGAAAUCCCAACAUGCUUGAUCUCCCAUAAUCAGAAGACUCCACGAUCCUUACAAGACACUACUGUGCAAAUUAGGGUGAUCAUUUCUGAGCCAUGGAAAAAUCAACUGGGGACAUCAUUUUUUAACAUUUGUUGUUAAUCUGGGAUAUAAAUGCCUUUAAUUUGGGAUUUCUCUUCCAGCAGCUAAUUUUAGAUUAGCUGUUAGAGUGAGCGCUUCCACAUGGAGAGAGUUUAUGUUUAUACCAGCUGACAGGAAGCUUCAUCUCAGAGCCAGGAGGGGCCAGAGCUGAUGUGAACGUUCGGAGCCAUUUUUAACGCAGGGGUGUCUAUUAUUCUUAACAGAAAGGAGCAUACUUCAAAUAGUAACACCAAAAUCCCCAACAUGAACAUUUUCUCUUCAGGAUUUGUGGCAUUUGUCUUGGCCUCUAAAGAAGGCCCUGACUUCCUCUUUCAAAUCCCAAUUCAUUUCCCGCUUUUCCCCCGACACUAUUAUGUUUUCAGAGUAAACUCUCUAAGGUUUCUGGCCACGCAAGUGAAGAAACCAGUGUGACUGACUGGUCGUCCUUGAGAAACAUGUAGACCCCAGCUUCCUGAACGGAGUCCCCAAAUGCUGCGUUUCCGAGAUGUCAAAGGAGAUCCUGGUAAGGAACAUGGAACUAAUAAGCCACCACCAACUGGAAGAGUUUGGGAAAGGUAGAAAGGAGACACCACAUGUCUGACCACCUCCCAGAAUCCUCUCUGGCAUCCAUCUUGGCUGAUCAGGGCGUGCACCACCAGGAAGGACUCUGAGUCAGAAUGAUUGGCUAAAGACAACCCGAAAACGAGUCCCAUCACCAUAAAACAGAGCAGCUCUCCUGGGUUCCCUUACCCUCCAGCUCUCCCCCUGGGCGCCCCUUCCCAAUAAAGUCUCUGACUUUGUCAGCACGUGUGUCUCCUUG